UUCCAGACUCCUACGGGAGGCAGCAGUGAGGAAUAUUGGUCAAUGGGCUUACGCCUGAACCAGCCAAGUCGCGUGAGGGAAGACUGCCCUAUGGGUUGUAAACCUCUUUUGUCAGGGAGCAACGCCGGCUACGUGUAGCCGGACUGAGAGUACCUGAAGAAAAAGCAUCGGCUAACUCCGUGCCAGCAGCCGCGGUAAUACGGAGGAUGCGAGCGUUAUCCGGAUUUAUUGGGUUUAAAGGGUGCGUAGGCGGAAUGCCAAGUCAGCGGUAAAAUCGCGGGGCUCAACCUCGCUCCGCCGUUGAAACUGGCGUUCUUGAGUGGGCGAGAAGUAUGCGGAAUGCGUGGUGUAGCGGUGAAAUGCAUAGAUAUCAGGAGGAACACCGGCGGCGAAGGCGGCCUGCUGGACCGCGACUGACGUUGAGGCUCGAAAGCGUGGGGAGCGAACAGGAUUAGAUACCCCUGUA
rnacentral:rRNA from 1 species